rnacentral:rRNA from 3 species
CUGCGGAAGGAUCACU